CAUGGGGUAUUCGAGCCUGCCUUCGACAAGGAGGGUUAAGUCGUAACAAGGUAUCUGUAGGGGAACCUGCAGAUGGAUCACCUCCUAAGAAAAC
rnacentral:rRNA from 1 species